rnacentral:rRNA from 1 species
AAGGCGGGCUGGAACCUCUCGGGGUUACAGCCUUGCUGAAUUAUUCACCCUUGUCUUUUGCGUACUUCUUGUUUCCUUGGUGGGUUCGCCCACCACUAGGACAAACAUAAACCUUUUGUAAUUGCAAUCAGCGUCAGUAACAAAUUAAUAAUUACAACUUUCAACAACGGAUCUCUUGGUUCUGGCAUCGAUGAAGAACGCAGCGAAAUGCGAUAAGUAGUGUGAAUUGCAGAAUUCAGUGAAUCAUCGAAUCUUUGAACGCACAUUGCGCCCUUUGGUAUUCCAAAGGGCAUGCCUGUUCGAGCGUCAUUUGUACCCUCAAGCUUUGCUUGGUGUUGGGCGUCUUGUCUCUAGCUUUGCUGGAGACUCGCCUUAAAGUAAUUGGCAGCCGGCCUACUGGUUUCGGAGCGCAGCACAAGUCGCACUCUCUAUCAGCAAAGGUCUAGCAUCCAUUAAGCCUUUUUUUUCAACUUUUGACCUCGGAUCAGGUAGGGAUACCCGCUGAACUUAAGCAUAUCAAUAGCCGGAGGAA